UAUUGGACAAUGGGCGAAAGCCUGAUCCAGCAAUGCCGCGUGAGUGAUGAAGGCCUUAGGGUUGUAAAGCUCUUUUACCCGGGAUGAUAAUGACAGUACCGGGAGAAUAAGCUCCGGCUAACUCCGUGCCAGCAGCCGCGGUAAUACGGAGGGAGCUAGCGUUGUUCGGAAUUACUGGGCGUAAAGCGCACGUAGGCGGCUUUGUAAGUUAGAGGUGAAAGCCUGGAGCUCAACUCCAGAAUUGCCUUUGAUACUGCAUCGCUUGAAUCCAGGAGAGGUGAGUGGAAUUCCGAGUGUAGAGGUGAGAUUCGUAGAUAUUCGGAAGAACACCAAGUGGCGAAGGCGGCUCAACUGGACUGGUAUUGACGCUGAGGUGCGAAA
rnacentral:rRNA from 1 species